CAAAACAAUCCUAAAAACUUUACUGACAUUGGUGGUGGAGUCAUAGGAUGCGGAGGUUUUCCUUAUAAUUUGAGGACUUCACAAGGAGGCCUUUCUUUGAGUAUUGAUGUCUCUACUACUAUUACUGUGUGUCCUAGACCAGUGGUUGAUUUUCUACUUGCAAAUUAAAAUGUCAAGGAUGCAUACCAACUGGACUAGAACAAGGCUAGAAGAGCUUUGAAAAUUUGAGAGUGAGGACAACUCAUACAAAUCAAGAAUUUAAAAUCAUUGGGAUAAGUGACAAGCCUUGCAAAGAUGAAAUGUGAGUCUUUCCAGGUUGUG